UACGUAGGUGGCAAGCGUUGUCCGGAAUUAUUGGGCGUAAAGCGCGCGCAGGCGGUCGUUCAAGUCGAGUGUGAAAGCCCCCGGCUCAACUGGGGAGGGUCACUCGAUACUGAUCGACUUGAAGGCAGGAGAGGGAAGCGGAAUUCCCGGUGUAGUGGUGAAAUGCGUAGAUAUCGGGAGGAACACCAGUGGCGAAGGCGGCUUCCUGGCCUGUUCUUGACGCUGAGGCGCGAAAGCUAGGGGAGCAAACGGG
rnacentral:rRNA from 1 species